UCGCCAACCCCGUCCUCACCGCCCCCGUCCUCGCCGCCCCCGUCCUGGUCAUCGUCUGGGGGAAAGAGCUCCCUCGUCGACGAGCGACGUGUGCGAGACCUCGCCGAGAACUCGACCAACGGAAGCUCGUCCUCCGCCUCGUCGUCGACGCCGGUCGACAUGUAGAUCGAGGUGACCUUUCGUAGCGGUCGUCGCCGUCUACCUCCGCCUGGCAUUUUGUCCUAUACCUGCAAUGACAAAGAUUAAACCAAUUAGCACAAAUAAUAAUAAGAAUAAAAUGAAUUAGAAACAUAAUUGCAAAGUACUAAGAAGAACAAAAUGAAUUAGAAACAUAAUUGCAAAGUAAUAAUAAGAACAAUAUAGUAUUACAUGAAUUAGAAAACGAAGUCCUCAUCAUCAUUAUCACCAUUGUCAUCAUCGCUGCCACCGUCAUCAGAAUCACUACUAUCAUCAUCACUAUCAAUAUUGUCGAAACCUAAGUCCUCAUCAUUUUCAUUCUCGUCACCACCUCCAUCGUCCUCAACACCUAGUUCGCGUCGAGCCCUCCAUCGCUCAAGCAUCAUUAGGUCCUUAGCAUCUUGCACCACUUCACCAUCAUCCUCAUCGAUGUUGUUGUCUACUUCCAUGCCCAUUAGUGAAAGAAUGUCUAUCUCCAAACGCCCUUCUAGCCCCUCAGGUUGAUAGAACUCUCCGCUAUCUGCCUUCGGGUCGAAGUUGUAAUCAUCAUCGUUUGGGACAGGCGCUUUACCACGUGGCGAUACCAAUUGCACAAGGUACCAUCCCUUAAGCCUCUCGUCUUUUUGGCACGCCCACGGAAGAUAAUAAACUUGUGUGGCCUGUUGAGCCACAAUAUAGACAUCAUCUCCACUAUAGAUAGAAUCCUGUCGAAUUUCAACUUGUCCAAUGUCUUCGGCUCUUCUCGUGACAUUAGGAUCGAACCAAUGGCAUUUGAAGACGACUGGUUUUAGAGCUUUAGGGCCCGGGAACUCGAGCUCGUAUAUUUCUUCCACUAUGCCAUAAUAGUUGACACCAUCGUUGCCGGGCGUACAAACUCCUGUGCACGUGGUCUUUUGACCAGGCCGACUCUCCUCCUGGCUUCUCGUGCGAAAGCGAUAGCCAUUGACAUCAUAAACGGUGAAUGCAUUGACCCUACUACUGCAGCCGCAUGCAACUUGUUUCAAUUCAGGACUCAUUUGUCUAUCCGUGCGUGCCUGCAAGGUGAGGCCAGGUAGAGCGUUACAUUACUCGCUCCUAGGUGCAAAUUGGAAUCUCAAAGUUGGAACGAGGUAAGUUUGAUGGUACCUUUGUACGGAACCAUGAAAUAAAAUCAGGCCUGGCAUUUUUGAGGAAAUCAUCUUCUUCUUCGACAGUAGGAGCCGUAUUCCUUCGCCAGUAUUCCUUAAAAAACUCUCUAAAAAACAAGAGAUGAAGGUGGUCGGAACGAUACAUGGAGGAUAUUGACUACGUAUGAAACAAGUCCAGAACUGAGAACUUACAUUCGAUAAGGAACCACUUCUUCAAGGUUCAACAACACGUAGAGCAUGUUAGUGCGAAACUCAUGUUGUUGCAACGUCUUGGGGGUACCUGCGCUUCCCCUUCCAAGUUGCCCCGUGAAAAGGCUCAGGGUCGAUAAAUUCUCGUCCUCAUUGUAAUGAGGGAGUGGUUUCAUGUUCGGAAGGUUGUCAGUAUAGUACGCCAUUGUGAAGUUCGACACCUCCUCCACUCUUGCUGCCUCUGCCACGGAAGCCUCAAUUUUAGCUUUAUUUUUACACUUUUUUCAAAGAAUCUUUAGACACCUCUCGAUUGGAUAGCACCAACGGGCCUGCACAGGACCCCCCAGCCGUGCCUCACGUGGGAGGUGCAAGAUCAGAUGCUGGAUUGGCAGAAAGAAGUCGGGUGGAAAGAUCAUCUCCAACUUGCAAAUCAGCAGCGGUGCAAGACGCUCUAGGUCACGAAUCACUUCUCGAGAUAACUCUCUGGUACAAAGUUGACGGAAGAAAUAGCUCAACUCUGCCAGAACACGCCAAACUGGCUCGGGGAGGUAUCCACGGGUCAUCGCAGGAAGAAGUCGCUCAAUCCAUAUGUGGAAGUCAUGACUCUUCAUCCCUAACACUUUCAUAGUUGAAAGAGCAUCUAGGCCCCUAGUGAUUUCGGUGAUUAAUGACAUCAUGAUUACUAUGACUAACGUGUGUUUUGUAGAGGCAAAGUCAUAGGUAAGGUCAUGGUAUAUAGGUACUCGAUGGACAGGGACGUACAUGCCUACUUAAUAGUAGAAAUUGUUUCGGUUUUUAAAGGAUGGAUGGACAUCGUCAAGACUAGACUAGGUCUAAGUGCCAUAUGGUGAAGAAGGGCACUUAGAGUAGUUUAGGACUUUGUUUUCCUUUGACCGUACUAUUAAUAGGGGCUUUGAUCUAGUAGCUUGACUUAGGCAAGGCUUUAGGUUUAGGUGUGGUGCACACUUGGUAAACCUAGCAUUAGGCAGCUCACAGAGAGUCCUUAGAUCGAGAGGAACCAACUUCGUUUGGAGCGAUCGCGUUUCGACGAAGUUUGGGUGCCCAAAGGGGCACCGGACGCUGCACCUGACACUCCGUGAGUGCGUCCGGUGAGGUCCCUAGCCGUUAGAAUAUUGUGGUGCUUAGGGUUAGGCACCGGACGCUAGCACCGGACGCACCGGGUAGUGUCCGGUCCCUUACCCAGGGAGGUUGCAAGCCUUCCCUGAGCACCGGACGCUAGCACCGGACGCUCCGUGUAGCGUCCGGUCCCAUGCGCAGGGAGCAUGUAAAGUUUUCCCGAGCACCGGACGGUGCACCGGACGCUGGGAGUUAGCGUCCGGUGACCUGUCAGAGAAAAGUGCAGGUAACCGUUAUGAAGCACCGGACGCUCGGUGCAGUGCGUCCGGUGCAACAUAAUGUGCGUCCGGUGACCCCGUUUUCAGUGGAAAACGGUUGGCCGACCUUUGGACUUGGUGGAUAGUAUUUAUACUCCUCCACCUCGUCCAUGAGAGUUCUCUUGCCCAUUUGAACAUCAGAGAACCUUGUUGUGGAGCAAGAGAGUUGCAAGAGCCUAGAGAGGAUUGAGAUUUGAGUGUUUUCUUGAGAGAAUCCUUCUCUAGUGAGUUCCAAGAGUCAAGUGUGCAUCCACCACUCUCUAGAGCCUUGUUUGGGUCAAGUGAGAGUUCGUUGCUUGUUACUCUUGGUGAUCGCCAUCACCUAGACGGUUCGGUGGUGAUUGAAGGCACGAAGACCGCCCGGAGUUCUUGUGGGUGGCUCGUGUCAAGCUUGUGAGCGGUUUUGGGCGAUUCACCGCGACGGAGUGUCGAAGAAUCAGCCCGUAGAGAGCACUUGGUCCUUGCGCGGACCAAGGGGGAGCAAGACCCUUGCGCGGGUGCUCCAACGAGGACUAGUGGAGAGUGGCGACUCUCCGAUACCUCGGCAAAACAUCGCCGAGCACUUUCUUCCACUUCUCCUUUACUUUCUAGCAUUUACUUUGUGUUUUUACAUUCUUAGAAUUGCCUUGCUAGAAUAGGAUUGGAACUAGGUUGCAAAACUUUUAUCCGGUAGCUCUCUAAGUCACACUAGGCACAAGGGGUUGAAUUGGAGCUUAUAGGUUGCUUAAAUUUUUAGAGAAGCCCAAUUCACCCCCCUCUUGGGCAUCUUGAUCCUUUCAAUUGGUAUCGGAGCCUAGUGCUCAUUAUUUAGGCUUCACCGCCUAGAGAAAGAUGUCUAACGGGGAUGGACCGCCACCCAUGUUCGAUGGGAAUGACUUCCCGUAUUGGAAAAUACGGAUGGAGUCAUACCUUGAGGCAUGCGAUGUAAAGUGCCUAAAAGCCGCGACCGAAGGGUUUGCCCCUCCGGAAAGAGCCACCGCUCUUACUCCACAAGAGCAAGAAAACGAGAAGUGGAAUGCGAAGGCCAAAAACCACAUCUUUAGAGGUCUUUGCAAAGAGGUGUUCAACCGCGUUCGGAGCCACAAAACCGCCAAUGAACUUUGGAAGGAACUUUGUGCGCUCCAUGAGGGAACAAAGAGUGAACGCGAGGAACGCUAUCACCUAGUGAUGAACAAGCUUAAUACAUUUGAGAUGCUUCCUAAAGAAAAUGCUAAUGAAAUGUAUUCUCGCUUGAAUGUCAUUGUAGAGGAGCUAAAUGGACUUGGGCUUACACAAAUGAGUACGGCGGAUGUAGCAAGAAAGAUACUAUGUGUACUUCCCAUUGAGAAAUAUGGGCACAUAGUAACCGUGCUUCAUCAAGGCGAUCUUUCCACCGCUACACCAACCACCAUAUUGGGGAAGAUCAAUGCUCAUGAGAUGUACAUGCCCAUGAACCCUCAAGAUGGCUCCUCGUCGGCCAAGAAAGAAAAGAAGGACUUGGCUCUCAAAGCUUCUCACAAGGGCAAAGCCAAGAAGAUUGAAGUUGAGUCAUCAACUUCAAGUGAUGAUGAUGCAUCUAUUGCCCUCUUGGUGAGAAGAACCACAAAGAUGUUGAAGAAGCUCAACAAGAAUGGAGUCAACUUUGACUCCAAGAAGAAGAAGUUCUUCACAAGUAGCAAGAGGAAGCCUAUCUCCGAGAUGGAUUGCUACAAUUGUGGUGAACUUGGUCAUCUUGCUCAUCAAUGUCCAAAGCCCAAGAAGGACAAAUACAAGAAGAAGAACAAAGAGCAAGAUGACUCAAGUGAUGAUGAGAAGAAUGACAAGAAGCAAUACAAGAAGAAAGGUGGCAAGAAGAAGGAGCACUACAAGAAGAAAAAUGGCAAGGCUUACAUUGUUGGUGAUUGGCUCACCGACAUUGAGAGCUCAAGUGGUGACUCCUCCGGCAAUGAAAGUGAUGAUGAGAAGGUUGCCGCCAUCGCCAUCGAUGCUCCAUCACCAUCAUCUUCACCACCAUCUACAUCCUCUACACACCUAUGCCUUAUGGCCAAAGGUGACCGGAAGGUACAAAGUGAGGAUGAGAGUAGUGAAAGUGAUAGUGAAUAUGAAUCACCUUCUUAUGAUGAACUUGUAAAAUUGCUUAACAAGUACACAAAAGUCAUAAGAAAGACUAGAAGUGAGAACGAAAAGCUUGAACUUGAAAAUGAAACACUUCUAGCAAAGCUUAAGUCUAGUGAUGAGCUUAGAGACCAAAAUGAGAUCAUGACCACUAAGCUCAAGGAGCUCAAACUCUCUCUAAAAGAGCUCAAAGAAAAACAUGAUAAACUUGAGAGUGUUCAUGAUGAGCUCAUCACUAGAUAUAGAACAAUGAAAGAGGAACUAACAACUCUAAAAGCAAACUAUGACAACCUUGAGAUAGCUUAUGAACUCGCAAUUGAAACACAUGUUGCUACUAACAAUGUUGCUAAGCUUGAUGUAGCCAUAUCUUGUGAUGACUUACUUGUGGAGAGCACAAGCAAAUGUGUUGAUUGCAAGGGCAAGAAAGUGGUAGUGGCCGAGAGUUAUGAGGACACUAUCAAGCUCAAGGAUGAAAUUGUCAUGCUCAAGAAAGAGUUGCAAGACCAAGCCAAGCACAAGACCAUUGUGAUUGAGUCACUUGAUCAAGACAAGAAACUUGCAUAUGAGAACAAGUUACUCAAAGAAGAAAAUCAAUAUCUCAAGCUUGGUUUGAUGUAUGACAAGCAAGAAGAAGAUGAGACAUUCAUCUUGGAUGAGUUAGCUAGCAACAAUGACCCAAUCAUCAAGAAGCUAACUCAAGAGAACAACAAGCUCAAGAAAGAGAAGGAACACCUAACCAUGGGGUUAGCAAAGUUCACAAAGGGAAAGGACCUUCAAAGUGAGCUUUUCAUGAACACCGUCAUGAAGAUGGACAAGAGUGGAAUUGGCUACAAGGCACAUCAAACAAAGCUCAUCAAGUCACUAGCCACUCAUGAUCAAUCAAGCAAGCUAAAACCAAAGAGAUGCUUUGAGUGUGGUCAAGAAGGACACUUUGCUCAUGAGUGUAAGGCACCACUACCACCACCCUUGCCCAAGCAUGCAAGACCAUUUGCCUUCAAUGCUCACUACAUUGUAAGGAAAGACAAGAGUGGCAAGGUCAAGGUUAGCUUCAUGGGGCCGCCCAACAAGCAAAGGCCAAAGAAGAUUUGGGUGCCAAAGCAACUAGUAGAGAAGGUCAAGGGCCCUAAGCAAAUGUGGGUCCCUAAAUCUCAAGCUUGAUCUCUUGUGUGUAGGUGAACUACAAGACCGGUGGAUCACAUUGGGUAAUUGAUAUUGGUUGCACUCAACAUAUGACCGGAGAUCCCCGGAUGUUCACCUCUCUUGAUGAAGAUGUUGACAACCAAGAGAAGAUCACAUUUGGUGACAAUUCAAAAGGCAAGGUCAAGGGACUAGGAAAGGUUGCUAUAUCAAAUGACAACUCCAUCACCAAUGUACUUUAUGUGCAAUCAUUGAGUUUCAACUUGCUCUCGGUUGGACAACUUUGUGAUCUUGGAUUUGAAUGCCUAUUCAAGAAGAAAGAAGUAAUUGUGACCAAGGAAGAUGACAAUGAAGUGAUAUUCAAAGGCUUCCGGCACAACAACUUAUAUGUAGUUGAUUUCUCAUCCGAUGAAGUUGAUGUCAAGACUUGCUUAUUCACCAAGACUUCACUUGGGUGGUUGUGGCAUAGAAGGUUAGCACAUGUUGGAAUGGGUACACUCAAGAAGUUAAUGAAGAAAGAAUUGAUUAGAGGCUUGAAGGAUGUGACUUUUGAAAAAGACAAACUUUGUAGUGCAUGUCAAGCGGGCAAACAAGUUGCAAAUACACAUCCAAUCAAAGGCCUAUCUCUCUACUUCAAGAGUGCUUGAGCUACUUCACAUGGAUUUAUUUGGUCCAACCACAUAUGCUAGUCUUAGAGGCAACAAAUAUUGCUUGGUCAUAGUUGAUGACUUCUCCCGGUACACUUGGACAUUCUUCUUGCAAGACAAAGCCGAAGUUGCAUCAAUAUUCAAGAAAUUUGCAAAGAAUGCCCAAAAUCAAUUUGAUGUGAAGAUUAAAAAAAUUAGAAGUGACAAUGGCAAAGAAUUUGACAACACCAACAUUGAAGAGUAUUGUGAUGAAGUGGAAAUCAAACAUGAGUUCUCCUCAACAUACACACCACAACAAAAUGGGGUUGUAGAAAGAAAGAACCGGACAUUGAUUACCUUGGCAAGAACAAUGCUAGAUGAGUACAACACUUCGGAGAAGAUGUGGGCCGAGGCAAUCAACACCGCAUGCUAUGCUUCAAACCGGCUCUUUCCUCACAAGUUCCUAGAGAAGACACCAUAUGAGUUGAUCAAUGGGAAGAAGCCCGAUGUCUCAUUCUUUAGAGUGUUUGGAUGCAAAUGCUACAUCUACAAGAAGCGCCAACACUUUGGAAAAUUCCAAAGAAGAUGUGACAUUGGCUAUUUGGUUGGCUAUUCAUCAAAGUCCAAGGCAUAUAGGGUCUUUAACCAUGCCACAAACAUGGUUGAAGAAACAUUUGAUGUUGAAUUUGAUGAAACUAAUGGCUCCCAAGGAGCAAGUGAUAACCUUGAUGAUGUGGGUGGUGAACCAUUGAGGGAUGCCAUGAAGAACAUGCCGGUGGGAGACAUCAAGCCUAAAGAAGAUGAUGAUGAUGCGCAAGUCACUGAGCCACCAUCCACCUCACAAGGUCCACAAGAUGAAGACAAGGAUGUGAGAGAUGCCCAUGAAGACACUCAAGUCACUCAUGAGCAAGCGGUGGCACAAGCACAAGAUGUUGAUGCUCCCCAACCAACCCCUCAAGUGGCACCAAGAAGAACAUCACAUCUCCUCCAAGAUCACUCUCAAGAUCUCAUCAUCGGGAGUCCAUCACGUGGUGUAACUACUCGUUCUAGACAUGCUUUAUUUAUUGAACAUCACGCUUUUGUGUCUCUUGAAGAUGAACCAAAGACUAUAGAGGAAGCUCUUCAUGAUGCGGAUUGGAUCAUGGCCAUGCAAGAGGAGUUGAACAACUUCUCUCGCAACCAAGUAUGGACACUUGAAGAGCGACCCAAAGAUGCAAGAGUGAUUGGAACAAAGUGGGUCUUCCGGAACAAGAAGGAUGAUCAAGGCAAAGUGGUGCGCAACAAGGCAAGACUUGUGGCAAAAGGUUUUUCACAAGUGGAAGGUCUUCACUUUGGUGAAACCUUUGCACCAGUGGCAAGACUUGAAGCAAUCCGUAUCCUACUUGCAUAUGCAUCUAGUCAUAAUAUCAAGUUAUUUCAAAUGGAUGUGAAAAGUGCCUUUUUAAAUGGUUAUAUUAAUGAGCUUGUCUAUGUUGAGCAACCCCCCGGUUUUGAAGACCCCAUGUACCCCAAGCAUGUCUACCGGUUGUCCAAGGCUCUCUAUGGUCUCAAGCAAGCUCCUAGAGCUUGGUAUGAGAGGCUUAGGGAUUUCCUCAUUGAGAUGGGCUUCAAGAUUGGGAAAGUUGACACAACACUCUUCACCAAGAAAAUAAAUGGGGAAAUCUUCAUUUGCCAAGUUUAUGUUGAUGAUAUUAUCUUUGGUUCUACUAAUGAAGAUUUUUGCAAGGAAUUUGGUGAUUUGAUAUCCAAGGAGUUUGAGAUGUCCAUGAUUGGCGAGCUAUCCUUCUUCCUAGGAUUUCAAGUCAAGCAAAUGAAGGAAGGAGUCUUUAUCUCUCAAGAGAAGUACACUCAAGAUCUUCUCAAGAGGUUCAAGAUGAUGGAUUGCAAGCCAAUCAAGACUCCCAUGGCAUCAAUGGGCAUCUCGACUUGGAUGAGGGAGGUAACCCAAUUGACAAGACUCUCUAUCGCUCCAUGAUAGGAAGUCUACUCUACCUCACCGCAUCUAGGCCCGAUAUAAUGUUUAGUGUGUGUAUGUGUGCAAGAUAUCAAGCAAUGCCUAUGGAAUCUCACUUGAUUGCGGUCAAGAGAAUUCUUAGGUACCUAAAAUACACACCUUGCCUAGGCUUGUGGUAUCCCAAAGGUGCAAGAUUACAACUUGUAGGCUAUUCCGAUUCGGAUUAUGCCGGGUGCCGGAUUGAUAGAAAAAGGACAUCCGGAGGGUGCCACUUCCUAGGUAGAUCACUUGUCUCUUGGAUGUCAAAGAAACAAAAUAGUGUUGCCUUGUCAACGGCCGAGGCGGAAUACAUAGCCGCCGGUGCUUGUUGUGCACAAAUACUCUACAUGAAACAAACUUUGCUAGACUAUGAAGUAGUACUAGACAAAGUACCUUUGUUGUGUGACAACGAAAGUGCCGUAAACUUGCAAACAACCCGGUUCAACACACCCGCACAAAACAUAUUGACAUCCGCCACCACUUCCUUAGGGAUCAUGUUGCUAAAGGUGAUAUAUCCUUAGAGAAUGUGGGAACGGAAAAUCAAUUGGCGGAUAUCUUCACAAAACCCCUAGAUGAAGCUAGGUUUUGUUUGUUGAGAAAUGAACUUAAUGUGCUUGACCUAUCCAACUUCACUAAAAGAUAAAAGUUGUGUGUUGAAUCUUGUAAAUAACUUUUGCUUUGCAUAUCAUGCAUACUAAAACUAAAAAUACAACUUGCAUGUAGGGCUUGUCUAAUAUGGUUAAGAUAACCCCCUGAGUGUGUGAAAAAGCUUAACCUUGGAUCAAACUUGACAAGCAUUAGUUUACUUUCAAGUGUUGCAUUACAACUCAUAUCAUAUGCAUGCUUGUUAAUUGACCAUUUCUUUUCGGAUAUUCGUUGAGCAUCCGCUGUGUUCGUCCAUAGAUAGGGGGAGCAUUCAAAGCUCAUUAUGAUUCAAACCCCUAGCUUUAUGGCCAUACGAUGCUCCUUGGUGAUUUUCUCGAACUAUCUUUAUUAAAAAAACUACUAAGCCUACGACUAAAUAUUUGUGAAAAUUUGAGGGUUUGAGAGAAGUCACUCAUACCAGUUCCAUUUGGUGUUUUAUUGUGUGCUUUUGGAAAUGGAACUUGGUUGGGUCAAAGUCGGACGUGGUGCUUAGUUGAAAAGUGCUCAGAGGAGCACCGGACGAUGCACCGGACGCUGCCUCUGUGCAUCCGGUGCGGUGAGUGUGCCAGACUGCACUCACCGGACACAGGAACAGUAUCCCUGCAGCGUCCUGUGCGGUGCGUCCGGUGCUCACCAGGCGUAACCCGAAGCACCGGACGCUAAAGCCAGCGUCCGGUGCCCAUCGUCCGGUGCAAUGCCAAAAUGCAAACCUCUCUGCGCAUGAGUCCGAUGGUCACCGGACGCGUCCGGUGCCACAUAAAGAGCGUCCGGUGAACCCGCGGCGGGCGCAUAAAGCCCGCGCCCAGAGGGUUUCGCGGGCGGUUUUCUUUCUUCUCUCCCGAUUCUCGCCGAGCUGCCCGUGCCCUAGCCCGCAGGAACCGCCGCCGACCGCCGAGAUUCCUCCUCCGGCGAUCCCGUGCCAUCUUCCCUGCACCAGAUCUGCCCAGGGAUCUCUCCCCCAUCCUUCUCCUCACGCGCAGAUCCAUCUCGAGGGGAUUUGAGGGAUUGGGUGAGUUUCUCGAUUGCUUGCCCUUAAGGUGUUUGAGUUUUUCGUUUCAUUGGAUUAGAAAAGGGUUCUUAACCUCGAUCUUCCUCGUUAACCCUGUGCAGCACCAUAAGGGAAGGGCUCGUGGUUUCCGGUGGUUGUCAAUCGAAAGUUUUCAUCCGGAACACGACUCGUCCGUGGAUCGUAAGCCGUUCGCGUGCGUAUCUUAUCUAUUCUUACGAUCUAUAGGAUUGUCUCAUCUCUAGUCGAUUUGUUUUCUUAUAUAUAUCCUAUCUUGUCGAUUCCCUGCAGCGCGUUAAUCUCCAUUGUCAGUCGGUUGUUUGUCGGACGCUUGUUUCGCAAUGGCUCGUACCAAGAACGUCAGUGGUCCGACAGCUGGCUCAGGAGGUUCCCCAGGAGGCGAUGGUGGAGGUGAUCCUCCUCGUCGCCUAUCAGCGGCAGAGAAAGGCAAGGGAAAGAAGCUGGCCACCAAGAAGCGCAAGGCCAGUGACAGAGAUGCAGAGGUCGUAGAGGCAGUGGCAGCACCAGCAGAGGCCGCAGAGAGAGGUGGUCAAGCAGGUGCUUUGAGGAUUGGGGAUGAUCUUACGCCGCGACAGAGGCGUGCAGUGCUUGAGGCAGAGGCAUUCCACGGAUCCCCUCCAGGCACCGUGACGAUUGGAGGACAGAGGAUUAGGCUUGUGGUCAGGGAUCCAGCUCAGGAGGAUCCAGACACUGAGACAGAGACCCAGGCAGAGGGUCCAGCACAGGAGCAGGAGCAGCAGCCGCCACUCAGGAGGUCGACUCGUGCUCGUACCCAGGCCGUUCCUCGGACCGGCACGCCGGGUCAGUCCACUUCCACAGCUCGUGCCACACCAGCGAGAGGCACACCAGCUUCACGCCCGAGGCCAGUCAGGAUCCACAGGGAUCUCUCUCUUGUGUCAGCCAGAGAGAUCCAGCAGCUGAGGUUCGUUCCGUUUCCCACCUGGUUUCCAGCUGCCAGGGAUCCUAGAGCCGGUGCCAGAUUCUACACAGUCGUCUAGGAGGACAUCUACGAGGCACUGGUUCGCUCUCAGGCUCAGUUCAGGGAGCACAGAGUGAUCGACCUGGAGAUACUGGGGAACGUGGUUGGAGCAGAUAUUCGUCAGUACUUUACCUACCUCCACGGACUUCCAGAGUUACUAGCACUCCCCGGCACUUAUUGUGAGCAGUGGGUCAGAGAGUUCUAUGCGUCAGUGUGGGUUUCUCCAGAUCACAGUUACAUCCACUACGCACUGGCAGGCACGGACUACAGAGUGACAGCUCAGAGGGCUAGAGAGGUGCUUCGACUGCGAGCCUCUCCCACCAGGAUUCACCAGCUGUGCUACGGGAACGUGGAUCCCCCUCGUCGUCCUCACGGUGGUGAGAUCCCACCGGUUGACUUCGUGGCUCCCUGUUUCCGUGCACCUUUUGGAGAGGGCUCCAGCAGGACAGUGGCAGAUUUGACACGCCUAGCCAGGAUCCUCGACUUUGUGUUGAGGAAGACUCUUCUCCCCAGGACAGGCUACAGAGACGGCUUCACUCGUAUGCAGCAGUGGCUCGUCGCUCACCUUAUCUCCCAGACGCAGUUUGAUUUGUGGGAUCUGAUCGUCUCAGAGAUAGAGGACACCAUCUCAGAGAGCUUCAGGGGACGGCCUCAGUUGCCGUAUGCACAUUGGAUCACUCUGCUUAUUCUUCGUGCUAGGCCACUGCCCCUGCCAGCUCACUUGCAGAGGGAGUUGACAGAGUCCGACACCGUCUUCCCCCACUACGACCCCCGGCAGAUGUUGAGAGCGCACCACGACCUUCGCGGUGCACCUCCUCCUCGUGCUCCACGUGGACCGGUGCCCCCACCUUCUCCUAGGGGCACCCGCAGUACAGCAGCAGUUGCAGAGACAGAGAAGCAGCAGGAUAUAGCUAUUGGCGCGUUUGCAGAUGCAGAGGCAGAGGGCGAGUUUGACUUCGCCUCAGACAGCUCAGAUGAUGACUAUCAGCCGCCAGUGACAGAUCUCCCUCCCAGAGCUCACGACCACGAGGCAGGCGGUUCUUCGAGUACUUCAGACCCCGCCCUGCUUGCUAUCUUAGAGGGGAUGAGGGCAGAUCUGCGCCGUGCAGCUGAGGAGCAGGCGAGGCGAGACAGGGAUCAGGCUGCCAUCAAUGCAGCCAUGCAGGCCAGGCAGGAUGAGCUCCAGCGUCAGCUUCUUACCUUUUAGGAGCAGCAGCUUGCUUUCCAGGCUUAGCAGACAGCGAUGAUGGCCACUCUUAUGGCCGCCUCAGGGAUUUAGCUACCGCAGAUUCAGCUCCCAGGCACGUCGACAGUCAGGCCGCCUACCCCAGUGCCUCAGACUCAGAGCCCGUCUCAGCAGCCGCUCCAGCUACCAGCUCAGAGUCUGCCGUUCUCGACGCCACAGCACCAAGUCUCUCAGGGUGCUAUCUCUUCAGGCUUUGAGCAGGUACCUCAGUUCACUCCUCUCCGCUCAGGCUUCACUCCUCAGUCAGCGUCAGCGUCACAGCUUGUGUGGGAUUCGCAGACAGAUCCGCACCUCAGCUUCACCUACAGUGCUCUGACUGGUGACCCUACGCCUCCUCCUCUGCAGGCUCCUGCAGUCUUUACGGCGCCAGUUACCACUACAGAGCUUCUGUCGUCGUCCGUAGCGUCGUCCGAGCAGCUUGCACCGUCUACUACCGUAGCAGAGACGACAGCUACAGCGACCGAGUCCGUGCCAGCUUCGUCAGCCGGUCUUGAGCAGCCAGCACAGCCUGUGACAGCGCCAGAGCAGACCCGAACCGCGUCACCAGCUCCUGCAGCUUCAGAGGGUCACUCCACCUCCUCCGCCUUGACGGCCGAGAUGCAGCUCGCUUCGUGGCCGUGCCGAGGGACUCCACUGCUCCACCGACUUCUUAGGUUUUUGGCGCUUGAUGCCAAAGGGGGAGAGAGUUCGUAGUAUGAGAGUUAGGAGUUAGGGGGAGCUAGAGAGGGUUUAGGAGUCUUCUUUUGAGGAGUCUAUUCUUUUGAGAUACCCUUUUUUAUGUGUGCUACUUUAUCAUGCAUCACGUUUACUUUUAUGCAUUGCACUUGUGUGAGAUACUAUGGUUGUGAGACAUGACUUGUGGUUAUUGUGAUAUCUUAAUGUCAUGUGUUUUGGCUCAUAUUACCCUUUGCUUCCGUGUUUUACUCCGUUGUUUCUAUGAGCCUUCUGUGUUUAUCCUGUUGUAUUUCACUCACAUAUUUGGAUGCAGGGUAUUGGACUUGGUUGAUAUAAGCAUGCCUAAUCCUUUCUGCUCUUAUUGUAUCAUGCUUAUUGAAACCAAGUCUCUUUAAAAACCUCAACUCUUUUCAUACUCGAGGUUGUCAUCAAUCACCAAAAAGGGGGAGAUUGAAAGAGCAUCUAGGCCCCUAGUGAUUUCGGUGAUUAAUGACAUCAUGAUUACUAUGACUAACGUGUGUUUUGCAGAGGCAAAGUCAUAGGUUAGGUCAUGGUAUAUAGGUACUCGAUGGACAGGGACGUACAUGCCUACUUAAUAGUAGAAAACGUUUCGGUUUUUAAAGGAUGGAUGGACAUCGUCAAGACUAUACUAGGUCCAAGUGCCAUAUGGUGAAGAAGGGCACUUAGAGUAGUUUAGGACUUUAUUUUCCUUUGACCGUACUAUUAAGAGGGGCUUUGAUCUAGUAGCUUGACUUAGGCAAGGCUUUAGGUUUAGGUGUGGUGCACACUUGGUAAACCUAGCACUAGGCAGCUCAGAGAGAGUCCUUAGAUCGAGAGGAACCAACUUCGUUUUGGAGCGAUCGCGUUUCGACGAAGUUUGGGUGCCCAAAGAGGCACCGGACACUGUACCGGACACUCCGUGAGUGCGUCCGGUGAGGUCCCUAGCCGUUAGAGUAGUGUGGUGCUUAGGGUUAGGCACCGGACGCUAGCACCGGACGCACCGGGUAGUGUCCGGUCCCUUACCCAGGGAGGUUGCAAGCCUUCCCUGAGCACCGGACGCUCCGUGUAGCGUCCGGUCCCAUGCGCAGGGAGCAUGUAAAGUUUUCCCGAGCACCGGACGGUGCACCGGACGCUGGGAGUUAGCGUCCGGUGACCUGUCAGAGAAAAGUGCAGGUAGCCGUUAUGAAGCACCGGACGCUCGGUGCAGUGCGUCCGGUGCAACAUAAUGUGCGUCCGGUGACCCCGUUUUCAAUGGAAAACGGUUGGCCGACCUUUGGACUUGGUGGAUAGUAUUUAUACUCCUCCACCUCGUCCAUGAGAGUUCUCUUGCCCAUUUGAACAUCAGAGAACCUUGUUGUGGAGCAAGAGAGUUGCAAGAGCCUAGAGAGGAUUGAGAUUUGAGUGUUUUCUUGAGAGAAUCCUUCUCUAGUGAGUUCCAAGAGUCAAGUGUGCAUCCACCACUCUCUAGAGCCUUGUUUGGGUCAAGUGAGAGUUCGUUGCUUGUUACUCUUGGUGAUCGCCAUCACCUAGACGGUUCGGUGGUGAUUGAAGGCACGAAGACCGCCCGGAGUUCUUGUGGGUGGCUCGUGUCAAGCUUGUGAGCGGUUUUGGGCGAUUCACCGCGAUGGAGUGUCGAAGAAUCAGCCCGUAGAGAGCACUUGGUCCUUGUGCGGACCAAGGGGGAGCAAGACCCUUGCGCGGGUGCUCCAACGAGGACUAGUGGAGAGUGGCGACUCUCCGAUACCUCGGCAAAACAUCGCCGAGCACUUUCUUCCACUACUCCUUUACUUUCUAGCAUUUACUUUGUGUUUUUACAUUCUUAGAAUUGCCUUGCUAGAAUAGGAUUGGAACUAGGUUGCAAAACUUUUAUCCGGUAGCUCUCUAAGUCACACUAGGCACAAGGGGUUGAAUUGGAGCUUAUAGGUUGCUUAAAUUUUUAGAGAAGCCCAAUUCACCCCCCCUCUUGAGCAUCUUGAUCCUUUCAAUAGUAUUAAGGUUCACUCCCCUACUCAGAUUCGCCGCAUACCCAUCAGGAAAUAGUAACAUCUUCAUCCACUCCAGCACUUCCUUCUUAUCGCUCCUUUUCAGGAUGUAAUCGGCUGGCCCUCUUCUCCAAUUCUUGCCCAGCUUAGGGGUCUUCAUCACUAGCUUUGGUCUAUCGCAGAUCGCCUCCAUGUCAAGUCUAGCCUUAACGUUGUCCUUUGACUUCUAUUUUAUGUCCAUGAGGGUUCCCCAAAGUGCCUCGGCGAUAUUCUUUUCUGUGUGCAUCACAUCGAUGUUGUGUGGAAGCAAAAGGUCCUUGAAGUAGGGGAGCCUAGUCAACCCCGAUAUAUGGGUCCACAUGUGUUCCUGACCGUACCCAAUAAAACCAUCAGUGUCUUUGUCGAUUUUGAGAGCCUGUAACUCGGCAAGGACCUCGGCACAGCUCUUAAUCUCAGGAAUAGGGUCGGUGACUUCAACACCUUUAGUGAAGUGUUGGGUGUCUCGUCUGAAUUCAUGGUUCUCAGGCAGGAAUUGACGGUGUUUGUCAAACGAAGAGUACUUGCCACCCAUCUUCAGCCAGGUGAACAUCACAGAUUCCAUACAUACUAGGCAAGGGAACUUCCCGUGAACACACCACCCACAGAAUAUGCCAUACGCUAGGAAGUCAUGCAUUGAAUACUGAUACCACACAUGCAUUGUCAAGUUCUUUGUAGCUCGGUCAUAUGUCAGUACCCCCUUUUCCCAAGCAUGUUCCAGUUCAUCCCACAGUGGUUGCAUGAACACACCCAUAUUCUUGCCCGGGUGUCCAGGUAUUAUCAGUGACAAUAACACGUUCUUCGGUUCAAACAUGACGCCAGGGGGAAGAUUGAGGGGGAUCACAAAUACGGGCCAACAAGUGUACGGAGCCGCAAGUGUUCCAUACGGGUUGAACCCAUCUGUUGCUAUGGCUACACGUACAUUUCGAGCGUCCUUAGCUUUGUCAGGAUACUGCAUAUUGAAGUACUGCCAUGCCUCAGCAUCCGAUGGGUGCACCAUCUUGUCACUGUAUCUUUUGCCAUCCUUGUGCCAUGUCAUCUGCUUCGCGGACUCCUCUGUCAUGAACAUCCGUUGGAGCCUCGGGGUGAGUGGAAGGUACCGGACGACCAUCUCGGGGAUCUUAGACUCCACCUUCUUGCCAUCACCACCAUCUACCUCCACAUACCUCGAGGCCUUGCACUUUGGACAGUGCGUUGCAACCUUCAGAUCUUCUCCCCUAAAUAGGACGCACCCAUUAGGACAAGCAUGGAUCGAUUCAUACGACAUCUUUAGUGCACGGAGGAGCUUCACUGACUCGUACGUGUUCUUCGGCAGCGUGUGAUCCUUCGGAAGCAUUGUGCCCAAAACUGUCAAAAUGAGAUUGAAGCCGUCUCGACUCAGGCUCAACUGCGACUUCAACCCUAGAAGGCGACCAACGGCAUCCAGUUGCGACAUUGUUGUCUUCUCGUGAAGAGGCUUCUGUGCCGAAGACAUCAUUUCAUAGAAAGCCUUUGCGGUUUCCUCUGGAUCCUCCUCCAUCAAUCCUUCAUUGCCAUGUGCCUCAUUAUAGUCUACCACCAUGUCGGCCACCCCAGCAUCUCCAUCAUACUCCUCGAGGCGUGCUCUUACCUCCUCCUCUCUAAUACGUGUUUUUGCUUCACCAUGGAAGAUCCACCUCUUGUAGUUUUCCACAAGUCCGUACUUGAAAAGAUCUUUGUAGACCUCCCUCUGUACUUUUCUUUUAUGGUUCUUACACUCUUUGCAGGGACACCACGUCCGAUCCGACCCGUGAGCAUCUGGUCCAAAUGCUUGCUCCAGGAAAUUAUUGGUCCCCCUAAUCCAUUCAUCGCUCUUCCUCUUAGUUGUCCAGCCAGCGUACAUCCACUCACGGUCAUCCAUCCUCUAUUAUGCGACAAUGUAAGCAAGUAAUAAAACCAGCAUUUACAUCUACAAGGCGUUCCUACCAUCUAAUAGGUGAAAGAUAGGUCCUAAUCCCACCCUAGGAUGCGUAGAUGAGGUUAGCUUCCAUGCUCCGCUCCCGUCCGAGACGGAAUUUUGGCAGCACCUCCCCGCUGUUCUCCCGAUACACGUCCCGGUGGGGAGAGUGUGUAUCCGGAGAACAACGGAAAGGUGCGGCCGAAACUCCGACUCGAACAAGAGCAGAACAUGGAAGCUAACCCAUCUACGCAUCCGCAGGCUGUCCAAAAAACGUGGACAAUCCGAAAGAGAUACUGUCGCGGAUAUGCACUGAUCAGCAUACCAACGACCAUAUAUCCCUUUCGGACGGGAGACACCUAACUUGGCUGCGUAAUCUAUAACUACUAUAAGGAUGAGAGGUGAAUUAUACCUAGGAUAGCGACACAAAGGCGAGUAGCAGGGCGAUGGAGAGUCGACGCGGUGUAGGAAGACCCACAGCACCCACGAACACGAUCGGAGUCACCAAGUACCUCCCACAGGUGAUCCUACAAAAAGGACAAAAAAAGGUUAGUAUCCACUCAAAAUUUCGGCAGCACCUCCCCUAAACGGGGAGGUUCCAAAACCUGCAAAAAACAAUGGCGCAAAGGCCGAUAACCACAACGGCACGAAGGCCAAUAACCAUAGUGGCACGAAGGCCGACAUCACAAUGGCACGAAGGCCAACAAUUAGAAGGAUUAAUUACCACACCUGCUCAAAUGCAACAUGGAUAGAUAAACUUUUUUUAGAGAGCUUGUCAUACUUUAUUAUUAUUAUUAUUACAGUAUAAACAGCUGCUAAUUCAAACUUUACUGGUUUUGCUAGGAUUCUUGCAUUUUAAUACGUACAAAACACAGCAUAAACUAGUACAUUAGCAUUAUCAUUAGACUGAUGCAGCAAACGAGCUCGGUAGCAAGCCCCCAGAACUAUGGAGUAGCAAACUGUAUAUUGUAUUAUUGUGUUGUUCAGUAUGUUAUCCACACUAUGAGUUCUAAUGCCCUAGUACUGAAGGUUUUAUACCAGUGUAGUUAUGGUGCUAUUUUCAGUAAGCCAAAGCCAGGAAGACCGCCACAGUCUUAAAAAAUUAAGAUGUCAAGAAGAGAAGCUUUGAGUGCGCCAUAUCAUGCUUUCAGUCUUUUUUGUUAUAACAAAGCUUCACUCUAGACAUGAAUUUCUUUCUAACCAAACCGAUGGCAGCAAACUGACCAAACCGAUGGCAUGUUGUUUGCAGGCCGUGGAUGCCGCCUUCAACCACGAUCUGGAAGUCAUCCAAGACCGGGAACAGGCACAACGGGUUUUGACUGAGCCCAGGAGAUUGAUUUGACCAACACAUCGAAGCGAGACGGGUCACGGGCGUGCUGUGCCUCCGACGAAUCUCCAUGGACGGAGCCACGGCUUCCCCACCCGCGUCCCAAACCAAUCCCAAAUCGAGAAGGGCGAGUUCGAAUUCAACCAGGGUCGGCUGUCGUCGGAGCGGCGGUUGCGCUAUGGAAGCCGCCCCAAGAGCGUCGGAGUGGCAGCGCCGCGCCGCGCCGAGGCCUCUGACGACGUCGGCGAAGGAGAUCCGUCCGCCAGCACGUCCGGAGCGGCCGGGGCAGGGGCGUCCGCACACGUCCGGGGCACCUAGCUUCACGCGGCGUCCGCACACGUCCGGAGCGGCCGGGGCAGGGGCCGGAGCAGCCGGGGCCGGGGCGCCGGGGCCGGAGCAGCCGGG
rnacentral:lncRNA from 1 species